GAAACGAAAAGAAACGAAAAGAAACGAAAAGAAACGAAAAGAAACGAAAAGAAACGAAAAGAAACGAAAAGAAACGAAAAGAAACGAAAAGAAACGAAAAGAAACGAAAAGAAACGAAAUGCUCUGCAUAAAAGCAGUGGCAAGCUUUGGAAGCAAUGAAACACAGGGGCAAAUUUUGAUGGAAACUGGAACCUGUAGGCGUCAAUGCGACUGGUCGUCUUCAGAGCCUGCACCCGGUUUCUCUUUGUGCCCAGCACUUAGCCAGGAGGCUGGCAAGAACCGAUGACUGAAAAGAUCAACAAAUGAACGAAAGAAAAGGACUGCUGUUUGUUUAGACAAACCGCUGUGCGGGAAGCAGGCCUGAAACACACGCUCUCACCGACAGCCGCCUCGGAUCCUUUCAGACUGAGUCCCUGCGGACCGCUGGCUCUGUCACCACGGAGGGGACACCACCCGCCACACACCUCAGGAUUAUCCCUGGAGGAAAACCGUGGAGGACGUGAACUUGGUCCCGGGUGCUGCCCCCGCUCCGGUCUCUGCCUGGCCUCUCCCACCGACCGCCCUUCUUCCAAAUUCUGUCAUACUCACAUUCUCUUGGACCCGAUGUCCAGCUAGAUGCCUUCAACUAUUAGCUGAGGGCUGCCUUAGGAUGCUACUUAGGAUCCAACAGCAGUGGCGGUUUAGCGAGGGCAGGGGAGAGCCCUGAGCCCACGGGGGUGGACUGAGUGGUGGAAUUUCAAGGCAUUGUGAUGGCAGAGGGCCACCUGUGCCUUCAGACCAAGCUUCUUUGCUUCACACCGGACUGCAUCUGGUCAGGGGUAAAACCCAUUUCCCUUGCCCCAGGGGCCUCUCUAACUGAGGAAUGAUUCCAUGCCAGGCCAGAACUCCUGAUGUUGCAGAAAUUAAGUAACCUACUGGUUCUCAUCUUUUCCAACCUCCGAAGGAGUUAGAAACAGGUGGUGAACCCGCCAGGAUGGGAAUGCAGGGGAAAGGGGGCCGAGAGGCCUGGGCAGAGCCGGUACACUGCAUUCUAAUCCCUGGAAUCGCGGACGUUCCCGGCUGCCCACAUGUUCCCGAGGCUGGCUAUUUUCGCUCGGCUGUUCCAGCGCCAAAACCAAGGAAUGUGUGUGUGGCGGCCAGCCUUCCCCCGACACCUCUGCCUUGGGCCUCGCCCAGACCAAAUGAGUGAG